rnacentral:rRNA from 2 species
GACGAACGCUGGCGGCGUGCCUAAUACAUGCAAGUCGAACGAACUCUGGUAUUGAUUGGUGCUUGCAUCAUGAUUUACAUUUGAGUGAGUGGCGAACUGGUGAGUAACACGUGGGAAACCUGCCCAGAAGCGGGGGAUAACACCUGGAAACAGAUGCUAAUACCGCAUAACAACUUGGACCGCAUGGUCCGAGUUUGAAAGAUGGCUUCGGCUAUCACUUUUGGAUGGUCCCGCGGCGUAUUAGCUAGAUGGUGGGGUAACGGCUCACCAUGGCAAUGAUACGUAGCCGACCUGAGAGGGUAAUCGGCCACAUUGGGACUGAGACACGGCCCAAACUCCUACGGGAGGCAGCAGUAGGGAAUCUUCCACAAUGGACGAAAGUCUGAUGGAGCAACGCCGCGUGAGUGAAGAAGGGUUUCGGCUCGUAAAACUCUGUUGUUAAAGAAGAACAUAUCUGAGAGUAACUGUUCAGGUAUUGACGGUAUUUAACCAGAAAGCCACGGCUAACUACGUGCCAGCAGCCGCGGUAAUACGUAGGUGGCAAGCGUUGUCCGGAUUUAUUGGGCGUAAAGCGAGCGCAGGCGGUUUUUUAAGUCUGAUGUGAAAGCCUUCGGCUCAACCGAAGAAGUGCAUCGGAAACUGGGAAACUUGAGUGCAGAAGAGGACAGUGGAACUCCAUGUGUAGCGGUGAAAUGCGUAGAUAUAUGGAAGAACACCAGUGGCGAAGGCGGCUGUCUGGUCUGUAACUGACGCUGAGGCUCGAAAGUAUGGGUAGCAAACAGGAUUAGAUACCCUGGUAGUCCAUACCGUAAACGAUGAAUGCUAAGUGUUGGAGGGUUUCCGCCCUUCAGUGCUGCAGCUAACGCAUUAAGCAUUCCGCCUGGGGAGUACGGCCGCAAGGCUGAAACUCAAAGGAAUUGACGGGGGCCCGCACAAGCGGUGGAGCAUGUGGUUUAAUUCGAAGCUACGCGAAGAACCUUACCAGGUCUUGACAUACUAUGCAAAUCUAAGAGAUUAGACGUUCCCUUCGGGGACAUGGAUACAGGUGGUGCAUGGUUGUCGUCAGCUCGUGUCGUGAGAUGUUGGGUUAAGUCCCGCAACGAGCGCAACCCUUAUUAUCAGUUGCCAGCAUUAAGUUGGGCACUCUGGUGAGACUGCCGGUGACAAACCGGAGGAAGGUGGGGAUGACGUCAAAUCAUCAUGCCCCUUAUGACCUGGGCUACACACGUGCUACAAUGGAUGGUACAACGAGUUGCGAACUCGCGAGAGUAAGCUAAUCUCUUAAAGCCAUUCUCAGUUCGGAUUGUAGGCUGCAACUCGCCUACAUGAAGUCGGAAUCGCUAGUAAUCGCGGAUCAGCAUGC